rnacentral:tRNA from 1 species
GCCUGGAUGGCUCAGUCAGUUAAGUGUCUGACUUUGGCUCAGGUCAUGAUCCUAUGGGUCGUGGGUUCCAGUCCCACGUUGGGCU